rnacentral:rRNA from 1 species
UGGGGAAUAUUGCACAAUGGGCGCAAGCCUGAUGCAGCAACGCCGCGUGAGGGAUGACGGCCUUCGGGUUGUAAACCUCUUUUAGCAGGGAAGAAGCGAAAGUGACGGUACCUGCAGAAAAAGCGCCGGCUAACUACGUGCCAGCAGCCGCGGUAAUACGUAGGGCGCAAGCGUUAUCCGGAAUUAUUGGGCGUAAAGAGCUCGUAGGCGGUUUGUCGCGUCUGCUGUGAAAUCCCGAGGCUCAACCUCGGGUCUGCAGUGGGUACGGGCAGACUAGAGUGCGGUAGGGGAGAUUGGAAUUCCUGGUGUAGCGGUGGAAUGCGCAGAUAUCAGGAGGAACACCGAUGGCGAAGGCAGAUCUCUGGGCCGUAACUGACGCUGAGGAGCGAAAGGGUGGGGAGCAAACAGGCUUAGAUACCCUGGUAGUCCACCCCGUAAACGUUGGGAACUAGUUGUGGGGUCCAUUUCCACGGAUUCCGUGACGCAGCUAACGCAUUAAGUUCCCCGCCUGGGGAGUACGGCCGCAAGGCU